rnacentral:rRNA from 1 species
GAUGAACGCUGGCGGCGUGCUUAACACAUGCAAGUCGAACGGAAAGGCCUGUACUUGUACAGGUACUCGAGUGGCGAACGGGUGAGUAACACGUGGGUGAUCUGCCCUGCACUGUGGGAUAAGCCCGGGAAACUGGGUCUAAUACCAUAUAGGACCACUUCUUGGAUGUUGUGGUGGAAAGCUUUUGCGGUGUGGGAUGAGCCUGCGGCCUAUCAGCUGGUUGGUGGGGUAAUGGCCUAACAAGGCGGCGACGGGUAUCCGGCCUGAGAGGGUGUACGGACACAUUGGGACUGAGACACGGCCCAGACUCCUACGGGAGGCAGCAGUGGGGAAUAUUGCACAAUGGGCGCAAGCCUGGUGCAGCGACGCCGCGUGGGGGAUGACGGCCUUCGGGUUGUAAACUCCUUUCGCUAUCGACGAAGCCACCUUGGGUGGUGACGGUAGGUAGAUAAGAAGCACCGGCUAACUACGUGCCAGCAGCCGCAGUAA